rnacentral:rRNA from 6 species
AGUGAUGAUAGCCUAGGAGAUACACCUGUUCCCAUGCCGAACACAGCAGUUAAGCCCUAGAACGCCUGAAGUAGUUGGGGGUUGCCCCCUGUUAGAUAUGGUAGUCGCUUAGCU